CCUAAACUGUAAAAAGUUGAAGAAUGGACUAGAAAAGCUCCGGUGUGUGUUGAUUAGGUGGGCUGGAGUACUUAGGAGAUGCUUCAGGAAGAUGAUUGGCACUUAAAGAGUUAAGAUUUGGAUAACUAGAAAGGAGGUGUGAGAAUAUUUCAAACAUGACGAAGGAGCAACAUCAGCAGAACAGAAAUACAUCAGUUGUGGUCAUGGGCAGCUGUGCUCGUGGAAAAGAAAAAUGAGGCUUGAAAGGUUAAGAGAAACUUUUCAAGCAUCAGAUAGAGGUGGAAGAGUUGAAGCUAGAAUGCAGAUCUUAACCAAUCCUUCCACCACUCCAAAGAGAAACUCUUAUUAAAGAAGAAGAGGAAGAAGAAGA
rnacentral:lncRNA from 10 species